rnacentral:rRNA from 1 species
AUUAAUAAUUAAUAUAUUUAAUAAAAAUAAUUUUAAUUUAAUAAAUAUUUUAAUGGGGGUUAAAGUAUUUUUUAAAGAAAAAAUUUUUAAAUUUAUAGUUAAUUAGUAUUGUGAAAGAAUUUUGAAAUAUUAUGAAAAAUAAAAUUUUUAUAAAGUAAUUUUUAUUUAUUGUAUCUUGUGUAUCAGAGUUUAUUAAAAAUUUUUAAUUUAUAAAUUAAUUUCUCGAAUUUAAAAGAGUUAAAUAAUUAUUAAAGUUAUUGUAGCAAAAUUAUUUUAAAUAAUUAUUUAGAAAUGAAAUGUUAAUCGUUUUUAAAUAUAUCUAGUUUUUAUAGAAAAAAAUUUAAUUUUAAAUUUAAAAAUUAUUUAAUUAAUUUAUUAAUUAAAUAAUUAUUUAAAUUUUAUAAUUUAAGGGAUAAGCUUUAAAUUAAAUUUUUAUAAUAUUAAAUUUUUAUUUUGAAAAUUUUAUAAUUUAUAUUGUUAAUAAAUUUUAUUUUGUUAUAAAUAAUUUCAUUUUUUUUAAAAUUUAAAUUUUAUUUAAUUUUUUAUAUAAAAUUUAUUUAUAAUUAUAUAAAGUUAAUUAUAAUGAUAAAAUUAGUAUAUUAUUUAAUAUUAAAUUAAAAUUAAUUUUUGAUUAAUAAUUAAAUUAAUUAAAAGGAAUUCGGCAAAUAUUUAUUUUCACUUGUUUAUCAAAAACAUGUCUUUUUGUUACUUAAUUUAAAGUCUAAUCUGCCCACUGAUUUAUAAAAAUUGAAGGGCUGCAGUAUAUUGACUGUACAAAGGUAGCAUAAUCAUUAGUCUCUUAAUUGGUGACUUGUAUGAAAGAUUGGAUGAAAAAUAUACUGUCUCUUAAUUAAUAUAUAGAAUUUAAUUUUUUAUUUAAAAAGUUAAAAUAAUUUAAAAAGACGAGAAGACCCUAUAGAGUUUAAUAAAUUAUUUUAUGAAAGUUUUAUUUAUAUUUACUAAUAAUUUUAUAAAUUUAUUUAUUUUGUUGGGGUGAUAAAAAAAUAAAUUUAACUUUUUUUAAGUAAUUUACAUGAAUAAGUGAUUAAU